UACGUAGGGAGCAAGCGUUGUCCGGAAUCAUUGGGCGUAAAGCGCGCGUAGGCGGCCUCGUAAGUCCGUUGUGAAAGUCAAAGGCUCAACCUUUGAAAGCCGAUGGAUACUGUGAGGCUAGAGUCCGGAAGAGGCGAGUGGAAUUCCUGGUGUAGCGGUUGGAAUGCGCAGAUAUCAGGAGGAACACCAUAGCGAAGGCAGCUCGCUGGGACGGUACUGACGCCUGAGACGCGAAAGCGUGGGGAGCAAAGCAGGAUUAGAUACCCGGG
rnacentral:rRNA from 1 species